rnacentral:misc_RNA from 1 species
GAUGAAGAACGCAGUGAAAUGCGAUACGUAAUGUGAAUUGCAGAAUUCAGUGAAUCAUCGAGUCUUUGAACGCACAUUGCGCCCCCUGGUAUUCCGGGGGGCAUGCCUGUCCGAGCGUCAUUGCUGCCCUCAAGCACGGCUUGUGUGUCGGGCCUCCGUCCUCCUCCCGGGGGACGGGCCCGAAAGGCAGCGGCGGCACCGCGUCCGGUCCUCGAGCGUAUGGGGCUUCGUCACCCGCUCUUGUAGGCCCGGCCGGCGCUUGCCGACACAUCAAUCUUUUUUCCAGGUUGACCUCGGAUCAGGUAGGGAUACCCGCUGAACUUAAGCAUAUCAAUAAGCGGAGGA